UACGAAGGGGGCUAGCGUUGUUCGGAAUUACUGGGCGUAAAGCGCGCGCAGGCGGUUCUUCAAGUCAGUGGUGAAAGCCCGGAGCUCAACUCCGGAACUGCCAUUGAAACUGUAGAACUUGAGGAUGAGAGAGGUGAGUGGAAUUCCCAGUGUAGAGGUGAAAUUCGUAGAUAUCGGGAGGAACACCGGUGGCGAAGGCGGCGACCUGGGUAGAUACUGACGCUGAGGUGCGAAAGCGUGGGGAGCAAACAGG
rnacentral:rRNA from 1 species